GCCCAGGUGGUGGAAUUGGCAGACACGCAUGGCUUAGAACCAUGUACCUUCCGGUGUGAGAGUUCAAGUCUCUCCCUGGGCA
rnacentral:tRNA from 1 species